CCAACUGUAACACAGCUUUCCUGAAACUGGCAUCAUCUGUGGCCUGUUGGGUGAUGGCACAGUGGGACAUGAAUGUGUGGACUGAUGACCAUGUAGUGACCCUGCAGAUAUCCUGUUGUUGGAUUAAAGUAAUAAUACAUUUAUGUUAAGGGAAAGUGUGAGAAAGAAUGGCCCAGAACAGGCCCCGGAUUUGGCCUGACCAUUAGAAAGGAAUAAGCCUGUCAGUUUACAAGGGCCUGUUCCUGGAUGGUCCUGAGAACCUAGGGGGGCGCUGCAGCCUAAAUUGUUUCCCUGAGGCUGGCGGUGUAGAAAGGCCCAAGGAUCACAGCAUAGCCCUGGAGUCUUUAAGGCUAUGCAGACUGGUGUCUGUCUGGUCCAAGAAUAAUGAGGCUCCCUCAAAUGGGAGAUCCUGGGCCAGCUGCUGAACCUCCUGGGACAGACCUGAAGACUGUCAUCACAAACCACGACUCAUGGCGACCGCUGAUGCCAUUGUUCUGGCCGCCAAAUCUGCAGCAUCGAAAGUCGCCUGGAGAGACGUUGUGGCCAUUAUCUUUCCUUCCUCCAUGAUGGCCCUGAAUUCCUGCUGCAAUUCUUGAGGCAAGGAAUCCUUAAAUUUGGCCAUGGAGUUUUAAACAUUAAAAUUGUAUCUCCCCAGCAGCACCUGCUGGUUUGCAAUAUGAAGUUGAA